ensembl:snoRNA
AGGAUGUGUAUGAUGAUGGCAUAGUUCAUCAGAUACUCUGUGAUGAUUGCUGAUGUCUUUCGCUCCUAUCUGACGCAUCCU